AGGGUUCAUUGAAGGAUACCUUGAGAUACCAGAAUCUGAAUUCUGAAGGAUACCAACAAAGUCUGGUGAUGUUCAUGGCCCUCAGGUGGAAUAGAGACUCCAAUACAAGAUACAGCACUCCUGGGUUGGUUGAAAUCCUAGAUGUGGCAGACCAGACUCGAAGGAAGAUACACCAGCGUUUCGUUAUCUGAAAAUCCUACCUUUCAUCUCUUUAAGUGAAGUUUCUAUCCCCUUUGCUGUGAAGAUAGCAUCACAAUGUAAGCCUGUCAAACCUGUUGGCCUAUUUAAACCAGCCUUCCAGCCAGAAACUAUUUCCAGAUGAA